UGCGAAGGGGGCGAGCGUUGUUCGGAUUUACUGGGCGUAAAGGGCGCGUAGGCGGCCCUCUUUGUCGCGUGUGAAAGCCCCGGGCUCAACCUGGGAAUGGCGCGCGAAACGGGGGGGCUUGAGUUCGGGAGAGGAGCGUGGAAUUCCCAGUGUAGAGGUGAAAUUCGUAGAUAUUGGGAAGAACACCGGUGGCGAAGGCGGCGCUCUGGACCGAGACUGACGCUGAGGCGCGAAAGCGUGGGGAGCAAACAGG
rnacentral:rRNA from 1 species